UACGAAGGGGGCUAGCGUUGCUCGGAAUCACUGGGCGUAAAGCGCACGUAGGCGGGUCUCUAAGUCAGGGGUGAAAUCCUGGAGCUCAACUCCAGAACUGCCUUUGAUACUGGGGAUCUCGAGUCCGGGAGAGGUGAGUGGAACUCCGAGUGUAGAGGUGAAAUUCGUAGAUAGUUCGGAAGAACACCAGUGGCGAAGGCGGCUCACUGGCCCGGUACGUGACGCU
rnacentral:rRNA from 1 species